rnacentral:rRNA from 1 species
UGGUAAUGCCGGAUGCUCCGACUCCUCGCAUGGGGUGUCGGGAAAGAUUUCAUCGGUAUGGGAUGGGGUCGCGUCCUAUCAGGUAGUCGGCGGGGUAACGGCCCACCGAGCCUACGACGGGUAGCCGGCCUGAGAGGGCGACCGGCCACAUUGGGACUGAGAUACGGCCCAGACUCCUACGGGAGGCAGCAGUGGGGAAUAUUGCACAAUGGGCGCAAGCCUGAUGCAGCGACGCCGCGUGCGGGAUGACGGCCUUCGGGUUGUAAACCGCUUUUGAUCGGGAGCAAGCCUUCGGGUGAGUGUACCUUUCGAAUAAGCACCGGCUAACUACGUGCCAGCAGCCGCGGUAAUACGUAGGGUGCAAGCGUUAUCCGGAAUUAUUGGGCGUAAAGGGCUCGUAGGCGGUUCGUCGCGUCCGGUGUGAAAGUCCAUCGCUUAACGGUGGAUCUGCGCCGGGUACGGGCGGGCUGGAGUGCGGUAGGGGAGACUGGAAUUCCCGGUGUAACGGUGGAAUGUGUAGAUAUCG